CUAGGGUGGAACACAUUAUGUGACUAUCCUAUAUGGACUGCUGGCCAAGGACUUUGAAAUUCCUGAGGAAAACAUGUCUCUAUAUUUUAAGCUGUGAAGUGAGACUGGGCAUAUGCAGUGACUCUUACAAAUAUUGUUUGAAAAAAAAAUAAUGAUUAGAUGAAGAGUGAUGUGGAUGCUUAUAUAAUUUGGGGAAUGUCUUGAAAGUCUUGAAAAGUUCUCUUAUGUGUGAGGAGG